CACAUCGUCCUCCUACUACUUCUCGGUGCCGCUGACCCGGCGGGAGUCGAGGGAGAUGACGUACAUCCAGAGCGUCUGCGCGCAGAUGAUCCGGCUCUGGUGCUCCAUCCCCGCCAGGCGCAGCGCGAAAUCUGGAAGAGGUGAGGAUGCUCUUCUUAAUUUGCUCGGUUAUACGUUUCUGUAUGCCGCGUGAGUUUCUGAUGAGCGUGAGGCAGAGAGAGAUAUCCAAGUACUGAUGAGUUCCUCAUGCGUGCGUGCGGGCGCAGAUCACAGCUUUACUGUAUGCUAUUUUCGUCAUGUUGAUUCCUUUGAUAAUAGCUACAAUGUUAACAAUUUUUGUUAGUUAUUUGAACAAAAUAGCCAGGGAUGCUGUCCAGCUGAUGCUUGGUAUCCACUCGAAGUUCAUCAUCCAUUGUAUUGAGGAUCUCUCGAUGAUGAUCAGCAGUAUUGCAAGUUCGGCAGAAAUAAGUGAAUACUGGUCAGUAUAAUUAUAUGACGAUAAUAUUGGGGUACAAGAUCAUUUCCUAUUUUUCAUGGAGUUAGAGAACAAGAUGGUGCGUUGCAUGUUGCACAUUCAGUAUUGCUACAUAAUUAGCAGGUGAUCUUUAGACAAGUGAAUGUCUAACUGCCAUUGUCAAGUGACAGUGAGAAGAACAACGUUUACAGCCUGUGGAGUAUCUUCCAAGUUAGAUAUACCAUCCCGCAAGGUCAAGAUUUACUGAAAUGGAUUAUACUUAGAGUUGGGACGUCGCCUUACUUUUAACAUUUCAAACAGUUUCCCUUCUCUAGGUAUGGGUGUUUCUCAAGCUGUCGCUCGAGUUUCUCAUCAUGCUCUGCAAUUAGAUUUUCUACCUCUUCAUGAUCAUUGUCUUGACAAGUGAAGUCCAAGAUGGGUAGAUUGUCGUACACUCGCUUGGUAUCUGGUACUUAAUUACUUGCUUACUCUUAUUACUCCCUCCGUAAACUAAUAUAAGAGCGUUUAGAUCACUACUUUAGUAAUCGAGACGCUCUUAUAUUAAUUUAAAGAGGGAGUACUUGACUGCUGAGCUCACAAUCAGAAGUUCAGAACCACAACUUGAUGAGAACAUUCUGAGCUAACUAAAUAUAGUGUGCUUCUCUUUUUAUUCUACAUUCUAUGGAAUACUAAUUAUAGCAUGGGAAGGUAUGAUCUUGAUGGCCUCUAUGCUGCUAUCAGGCCAGGUUAGUUACAACUACAUGUAUAAACUGUUACUCUUUGCUCUGAUUCUCAUCUUGCUGAGGAUUAAAUUCUUGUCAAGUAGUUUCAUCAGAUAGUUCUUAGUAGUGCAUUUUCCCAGUCACAAAAUUUUCCUUUAUCCCCAAGGAUAAGUUAGAGCAUAAAAAUGAAUUCAGGAACUGGGGUGGAUAUUGUUAGGAAGGGCAUAUUGUUGUACAUCUAUGCCUGCCUGCACUAUGCACCAUUUCAUUCACACGGGAAGGUAUUGUAACAUCCAGAAAUAACAAGCUAGCUGAAAAGAUAUGCAUACUAUUGACUUAAUGGUUGUGAAACUCAAAUAUUUGGAGUUGCCCAAAAGGGAAAUAGAGGUUCAGGGUUACAGUGGAAGCCACCACCCACUGAAACUGCAAUGAGUUGACUGGAAAAAACCACCUUCAAUAUAUAAGAGUUCCUUCUUACACCGCCCCAAAGGGAAAUAGAGGUUCAGAGUUACAGUGGAAGCCACCACCCACUGAAACUGCAACGAGUUGACUGGGAAAAACCACCUUCAAUAUAUAAGAGUUCCUUCUUACACCGCCCCAAAGGGAAAUAGAGGUUCAGAGUUACAGUGGAAGCCACCACCCACUAAAACUGCAACGAGUUGACUGGGAAAAACCACCUUCAAUAUAUAAGAGUUCCUUCUUACACCUACACUAUAAAAAAAGGAGUAUGAAAAAGUCACCUUGGAUCAUAAUUCAAGGAAUGUAUUACUCUUUGCUCCGUUCUAUUUAAAAUACAUAUUGUAACAAUUAACAUGUUAAUGUGUGUCUGGUUAUGUCUUGCCUUGCUACUUGGGUGCCACCGAUGUCUGUUUAUUGUCUUCCAUGCAAAUAAAAGAAUCCAAAUACAUCAGGUCUCUUAAUAUUUGUACAUACUACUGAUAUUUGUUUCUUUUUUGGCUGAAGCUCUCAAAGGUGUAGCCUUCAAGCUUUACAAUAUGGGUUGGGAUUUCAGAGAUGAUUUGUGCAUUAUAAUUGUAAUUUGGGUAAUUUCUUGGUUUGAGGAACAUAACUGCAACUCGAGUGACUGAGCACAUGCAACACUGCAGGCGUACACCUUGAAACAGACACCUGAUGGCCUGGCAAGUUCUACUCCUGAAAUCAACGUCUAUGGCUUGAGUAAGUGUCAGCGGCAUCCCUAGGUCCAACAACAAUCAUGCAAGAGCAAUCUGUGGUGGUAGAUUUCUGCAUGAUGUAUCUUGAAUAAGGAUGUCACAGUUGUAUUAAUGUUUGUAUCCUGCUAAUUUUGCAAGACAGUUUUUGAAAUGUAACUUCAAAAUUCAAAUGACUUCCUUUCAUCACCUUAUGAAUAAGGAAAUUGGUGCAUCUCUAAUUGA